rnacentral:rRNA from 1 species
UCUACAGGUGUUGCAUGGCUGUCGUCAGCUCGUGUCGUGAGAUGUUCGUUAAGUCCGCUAACGAGCGCAACCCUCGCUGUGUGUUACAAGUGUCACACGGUACUGCCGAUAUUAAGUCGGAGGAAGGUGGGGAUGACGUCAAGUCAGCAUGACCUUUAUAUCCAGGGCUACACACACGCUACAAUGGCCAGUACAAUGAGUUGCCAAGCCGCGAGGCGGAGCCAAUCCUAAAAAGCUGGCCUCAGUUCAGAUUGCAGUCUGCAACUCGACUGCAUGAAGUUGGAGUUGCUAGUAACCGCAGGUCAGCAAUACUGCGGUGAAUACGUUCCCGGGGAUU